rnacentral:rRNA from 1 species
GUGGUGGCACAAAAUCGGAAGCCCCGACUGUUUACUAAAAACACAGCUAUCUGCAACGAUGUAAAUCAUAGUAUAGGUAGUGAGGUUUGCCCGAUGCCAUUAAUAUAAGAGAAGUGAUGGGUAACUGUUAAUUAUCGAAAAUCUGGUUAAUAGCGGUCUUAACUAUGAGGAUCCUAAGGUAGCAAAAUAAAUUGGCCAUAAAGGUUGUCCGGUAUCAAUAAUUUAACGAUGGCUUCACUGUCUCUACAACUUGCUCAGUGAAAUUGAAUUACCCGUGCAGAUGCGGGUUGCCACCAGGGGGACGGGAAGACCCUAUGCAGCUUCU